UCAGAAUUGUAAUUUGAGGAAGCGUUUUCCGCGUCUCGGUUGACCCAAAUCCUUUGGGAUGAGGUAUCAUGGAGGGUGAGAAUCCCGUUCGGUUGACCUUAUGACGUUCUACGAUACGCUUUCUAA
rnacentral:rRNA from 1 species